rnacentral:rRNA from 1 species
CCGGAGCUAGCAUAUCAAUAAGCGGAGGAAAAGAAACCAACAGGGAUUGCCCCAGUAACGGCGAGUGAAGCGGCAACAGCUCAAAUUUGAAAUCUGGCUUCGGCCCGAGUUGUAAUUUGUAGAGGAUGCUUUUGGUGAGGUGCCUUCUGAGUUCCCUGGAACGGGACGCCAGAGAGGGUGAGAGCCCCGUAUAGUUGGACACCGAGCCUCUGUAAAGCUCCUUCGACGAGUCGAGUAGUUUGGGAAUGCUGCUCAAAAUGGGAGGUAUAUCUCUUCUAAAGCUAAAUACUGGCCAGAGACCGAUAGCGCACAAGUAGAGUGAUCGAAAGAUGAAAAGCACUUUGAAAAGAGGGUUAAAUAGUACGUGAAAUUGUUGAAAGGGAAGCGCUUGUGACCAGACUUGUGCCCGGCUGAUCAUCCAGUGUUCUCACUGGUGCACUCUGCCGGGCUCAGGCCAGCGUCGGUUCUCGCAGGGGGACAAAAGCUUCGGGAACGUAGCUCCUCCGGGAGUGUUAUAGCCCGUUGCUCAAUACCCCUGCGGGGACCGAGGUUCGCGCUCUGCAAGGACGCUGGCAUAAUGGUCAUCAGCGGCCCGUCUUGAAACACGGACCAAGGAGUCGAGGUUUUGCGCGAGUGUUUGGGUGUAAAACCCGCACGCGUAAUGAAAGUGAACGUAGGUGAGAGCUUCGGCGCAUCAUCGACCGAUCCUGAUGUAUUCGGAUGGAUUUGAGUAAGAGCGUAUAGCCUCGGACCCGAAAGAUGGUGAACUAUGCCUGAAUAGGGUGAAGCCAGAGGAAACUCUGGUGGAGGCUCGCAGCGGUUCUGACGUGCAAAUCGAUCGUCAAAUUUGGGCAUGGGGGCGAAAGACUAAUCGAACCAUCUAGUAGCUGGUUACCGCCGAGUCCCCC